UAAUUGAAUGCGAUUUAAAGAAAUUGGUAUACUUUGAUGGUAAAUUAAAAGUUCUUUUUUUUCCUACCUGUUAAUAAAAUUUUGUACUUAACAGAGCCACAUUCGUGCAGUCAUUUGCAAAACAGCUGGUCCAAAUUAGUUCCCGUUUUCUUUUUUUUCAACUGCAUCAGGUAAGUGUGGUUGUUUCUGACCUACAGUUAGGGAAAUGGAGACACAAAAAUGUGAUGAGCCACUCUCCCAAAGAGGGAGUUUGUACAGAUCUCAUAGUGGAAAUGUGGUGAUGAUUCACAGAUAGCAGCAUUUGGUGAAUGCAUUGAGUAUUUACAAACUGAGUGGUUUUUCAUGCCCUGGCACUGCAGGGACAGCACCUUUGCAGGCUCUGAAAAUCCCAGGUCAAACACCUGCUUUGCCUGACACAAACGCUUCUCUUCAUCUGUAACACAUACACUGUCCCUGCACAUAAUGCAAAUAUUUACACUGCCACUUUUCGGGCCGUUAUUUGCAGCAUUAUUAAUGUUAUUAGCACUAUUUGCACUGCAGCCAUGAAGGCCCCUCCAAGACAGGGUGUUUUGUGUCAAACGCUCUACAAACACACGUCAAAGGACAGUCAUGGCACUGUUGGAUUAACAAUCUAAAUACCUAAGGCAAACAGAGGCUGGGAGGAACCACCCUGGGUACCCUGAGGAGGCAGGUUUUCCUGUGUUUAAGAAGGCAGGUGACAGGUACCUGAUCUAGGAUCAGUUCACAACUUUGCCACCGAUUUUCUGUGUAAUACAUUGCUUAAUCACACCACAAUUCCUCAGUUUUCCGCAGGAGUAAUGCCACCAAUUUAUUCCAAGUCUCCUUCAGGUCUAAAAUUGCUGGUGCCUAGACCCAACUCCAGCUAAUGAAAAAGAGUCAUUGACAGGAUUUGGCCCAUUACUGAAUUCAUAUUCCUGCCUCAGGUAGUCAUGCAUAUUCCUGUCAAAGCCCACAUAGUGUAACACUUGGUGUUAAUGGAGUCACAGUAAGGAUGGAUUUGUUCUCACCCAACUACAUGUUUUAAUUCAGAGACCACAUUACUGUUCUAGUGAUAGAUUAGAUAAGAGCGAAACACAUUUAUUUCUUUUAAUUCCAAUUAUGUUUUAAAAUUCUGUUUCUGGUUGGCUGUUAUUUAUUUGCAGGUGUUUUUAUUAUUAUUAUUUUACUAUUACACUCCCUUGGUGCAACUUUUUUUCCCCUAAUUUAAUCCUCUAUUUUUAAAUACGAUUUUCUUCUUCACCAACCAAUAGCUGCAUGACUGAUUUUACUGAAUGAAAUUUAUAACAAUGACAGAACAAAAGGGAAUUUAGUCUGAAUCCAAACUAAAGUCGUGUUAACAAUAUAUUCAAUUUUAUAGCCUCAAUUUCAAUGGGGCGCCCAAGUCUUUCUGAAGUCAACAGUCUAUUCUCAUAUCCCACAACCUGAGUAUACUUUUGUAGAACUAGAAUUAGUAUAACAGUGGUUAGCUUAUCUGACUUUGCCCCCUGAAAUCAUUGACUUUAAAAUACCUGUCUCAGGCAGACCGCCGUGAAGAAUAGAGAAUUAUUAUCACAUUUCCAGGGUAAAAAAAAAAAAAGUAAAAAUGUGGAAUGAAGUUCAGGCUGGAAGUAUUUAUCAUAGCUAGGUAGGAAGAACUGCUAGAAUAUAGAGAUAAUUUCAAACAGACUUAUCACAUUCUUGGGCAGUGCAUCUCUUGUGUCAAGAUACUACAUUUGUGGAAUGGAUUUUGGCUUUUAAUGAGAACCAUCAAACCAUCAUAAAACCACAGGCUGAAAAAACUCUGCUUUCCUGCUCUGUGACUAAGAUACUUGCUUAUACUGCAGCUAUAACCCCCUAUCUCAACUUCUGCUACUUUCCACAUGUGUGGUCAAUGUUUCUUCACCUUCUUGACCAUGCUGAGCUUUGUAAAACAUCACCACCUCUCUUUCUCUCUGUGCCUUUCCACCCUGAAAGUGCCCUUGCAGAAAGCCCCAUUGCUGACAAUUUAAGUGAAACUGGCUCCACUGUGCCCCAGGGGAGCCAGUAACCACAGUGGGAUGCUAAGAAGAUAUUCUCCCAGGUGAGGUGAGGCUUUAGAUGGAGCCAUUUCUCCUGCUGAGGAUGUCCCCCGAGUACAUUCAGCUGAAAAUCCAAGCUAGAGAUUGGACAAAGGGUUUGAACAGCCCUGGCUCUGCCUUUCCUUGUGGAGAGUUCUGCAGUCACUCGUUAAAAAGCACCAAAGGCAAACUGAGACACCAACAGUCUUUCAUGAGCCAGAUCAUGCUCUGUUAGUCCAGCAGGAAGAGGCUGCUUCUUUGAAAGGACAAGGGAUACAUGUCUGCACUGACAUUUCCUACCAGCUGAUGAUGCCUUUGAUGCCUCUUUUAAUCAUAGAAUAACCUGAGUUGGAGGGGACCUGCAAGGAUCACUAAACCCAACUCCUGGUCCCAAACAGGACAACCCAAGACUCACAACAUGUGCUGAAGAGUGUUGCCCAAACUCUUCCUGAAUCUAUCAGACCUGGGACUGUGAUCACUGCCUUGGGAAGACUGUUCAGUGCCUGGCCACCCUCCUCCUUUGUUUUUUCAUUUGAUGAGGGUUUGGUGUUUUUUUCCUUGGGCAUGUUAAUUGCCAGAUCCUUUUUUCAAGCAUUUCUUUCGCUACAGCAAAAUCCAAUGAAACCCAGACUAAGAUGGAAAAGCCAUAAACAUCUUCAGCACUUCUGCCUGUAUAUAGAUUGCAACUGAAGACAGCUGCAGCUGAGAAGAGUUUGCAGUGAUGUUCAUUCACUGUUGGUGAUUAAAAUACAUCUUUUGUACCACCCAGACUCUGAAUCUGCCUCUGGGAUUUGGGAACCCCCUGGCACAGAAGUAGCCACAGUGAUUCAUAGUCAGAGCACAGAUUACCCCAUACAGGGAUCUAAUUUUGGGCUUUAUUGAUAGCCUAGGAACAUUAAAGUUCCACCUUUCCUUGGAAGUUACAAGACUUUUGUGUUUCGGGGACAAAAGUAAAUCUGAUCAGGUUUUGUGAUGUUUUAGGGCUCCAGGAUUACCCAAUUUCAUUCAAUCUCCAUAUGAAUAAAACCACCAUUAUGACAAUGUCUUUCAAAUACUUAUGCAUCAAAAAAUUAUGCUGACAAAGCACUGUACUCCAAACUUUCCUCAGACUGAUGAUAGAAAACAUGAAUUAUCAGACAAAAGUAUUCUGUAUUUCCAUCCAGAUUUUGUCAACACUGCUGUUCUGCAAUCUCCCUGAGAUGAAUCUCAGCAGAAGUACUCAGUUGAUUUACUGCCUUGUAAUUCAUUUGUCAUCAUUUAUUUUCCUUUGUAUAAAACAAGAUGUAACUGCACAAAUGCUGAAAUCCAGAAGUGCUGGAUUAAGAGGAUUCUGGCUUGUCAAUGUCCUUUUACAAGGGAGAAACAAAGGGAGUUUAUGCAAGGCAAUACAAAAAUAUUCUGGCUAAGCCUAUGAAACAGUUUGUAAUAACACUCCUUUUUUCUAACAGGGAAAGAGGUUUGGCCACAUUCUGUACUUGAGUGGUCCAUUUCUACUUAUGCCUUUUCACUUCGGGUCUUGUAGAGCACAAAGUAUGGGCAAACUGAAAAUAUAAAGACAGAUGAUAAGACUCUUAAUACAUGUUGGACUACUCAAAGAAUUAAUUUUCUAAUUUUCCUUCUUUCCAUUGUAUGUAAGUAUCAGUCCUCUGUGAUGCGUGAGCAAUAAAUUCACAUCACAGCACCAAAUUAGCAUUAUGACUACCUGUCAGCCACAUGGAAUACAGAACUUGUCUAAAUUUGGGGAAGUUGGUCAGGUUUAAUGAAUGUCAUUACUCAAGCAAUAAAUAUUGCCUCUGAUUUCUCUGCGAACUUACAAUCAUCUGGCAAAGAGGGUAGAUAAAAAUGCUCAAGUUGCUUUAGUGACAACAUGAUAUAUCCAAUAUGCAAAAUCAGAAUUCUUCUGUAUAAUGCCAUAGAGACUGAGUAGAAUAGAUUGAUUUUAUUUACUCUUCAAAAAAGUUCAGCUAGACCUGUAUAUCAAACCUAGGGUUACAGGCUUUGCACAAGAGAUGACAGCUUUGUGUUGGAGACAUCAGGAUUCUGGAUAAAAAGAUUCCAGUUCAGCAGUCAGCCAGACUUCCUUAGGCAGACUGUUUGCUUUCAAACUCCCAUUUAUUAUGUAGGGACAAUAUUUUCUUUUUCCAUUCAUCUGGCUUGUUUAUACUAUAAGCUCUUUGCAGUAUUAUUUAUCUCCAAUGAUGUAUAAGUUCAGCCUGUGCAGAACAGACCUAUAUAUUUUAAUAAAUCAAUACGAAGAUCUAGGAGAGAAACAGGUUUUUGCCCUUAAGACAUUUUCAACAUUUUUAACAGGAAAUACAAGCUGUCUUGAAGCUUUUUUUCUUCUUUUUUUCUUUUUUUUUUUUUUUUUUUUUUGGUGGAGAAAAAUAUAAACCACAGCAUGGGAGAAGCUUACAUAUAUUGAAUUCCCACUAACCCUGAAGUCAGCAUGUACGUGGGAAAUGGAAAUUCAUGAUAUUCAGGAUCUGGACUUGAACCAGAUCAGUUUCCUGAAAUGCACAGGACAGAAGGAGAAGCAAAAAUUUAAGGCCACUGAAGAGGAAGCAGAGGACACAUUUUCCCCUCUAAUCCCAGUGCAAAAGAGUGGAGUCACAGUACCCCCAUGGCAAUCAAGGCAAUCACAGAAGACUGGGUUCAAGCACAUUGUUAACACUGAUGAGCACCCUCAGGAGCUUUGCAGAUUUCUUUUGGAGGAAAAAUCACCUCGUCUGACCCAGACUUCCAAAGUUCUUUCUCUCUUUGCAUCAAUUGCUCUGAACAGACAGUGGGAACACUUAAAGCAGCUGCCUUAAGUGUUGGAGCUCAUACUACACCAGUAAUGAAGACCUCUGUGGUCCAUGGACUUUGGACACUCUCAUGGUUCUUUUCCAUUUCCAGAAAUAAAACACCCUGAGUAGCAUUAUUUUGUGGUACAUCAGUCUCAGUUUGAUAUGGGCUUUUGUACUGAGGAAGUAAAAAAAAUUAAGACAAUACCAUUUGAAAAUGAUGUAAAGUAGCUAUUCUGAAAAGUGGUAAAAUACAAAAUACCACUACCUCACCCUGCAGGAGUUGACUAUAUUUUAUAACUAGAGGCAGAAUAAGUAACCAUGUUGCUAAUAUUUAUAUAGUGUCAUAUGUUUUAAGGCAGGCUCUAAAUUGCUCAGAUCUUGACAUUCAUUUUGACGUCUGGAAUAAUUAACUAAUCAUAAAGGUUGUAAAACAAGUGAGUUUAGUCAUAGAGCCAUAGAAUGGUUUGGGUUGGAAGGGACCUGAAAGAUUACCCAGUUCCAACUCCCAAAGUUGAUAUUCAGAAUUUAGAAGAUACACUUCAGUAGAAGGUAUCUGGAAAUAUAUACUAAUAUAUAUGGAUUUUUUAUACGUAUGUAUUAGGAAGUAUCAAAGUCCUUCUUCAUCAUAUUAGCUUGUUAUUGAGGUAUAGUCACACACAGUAAAGCUUAACAGUUCUUUAAACAUUUGACCAUGUUUUGUUGAGGCAAUAUUUAUCAAGUGUUGUCUGAUCUAUCAGGUAUGUCAGGAAGAAACUACAACUCUGUACCUCUUUUUGGC